ACUCAAAUGAAUUGACGGGGGCCCGCACAAGCAGCGGAGCGUGUGGUUUAAUUCGACGCAACACGCAGAACCUUACCUAGGCUUGACAUGAUGCUGCAAGCGGUGGAAACACCGCCGCCUUCGAGGGUGCAUCACCGGUGCUGCAUGGCUGUCGUCAGCUCGUGUCGUGAGAUGUUGGGUUAAGUCCCGCAACGAGCGCAACCCUUGCCCUAUGUUACUUGUGUCAUAGGGGACUGCCGGUGGGUUCCACCGGAGGAAGGCGGGGAUGACGUCAAGUCCGCAUGGCCCCUACGCCUAGGGCGACACACACGCUACAAUGGCCGGAGGAAUGCGCGGCGACCAGGCAACUGGGAGCUAAUCGCCAAGACCGGCCUCAGUUCAGAUUGAGGGCUGCAACUUGCCCUCAUGAAGGCGGAGUUGCUAGUAACCGCGUGUCAGCAAAGCGCGGUGAAUACGUACCCGGGCCUUGUACACACCGCCCGU
rnacentral:rRNA from 1 species